ensembl:lncRNA
UUGCAACAUUAGUUUUUAAAAUUUAUUUAUAAAAUACAGUAAGUCCCCUACAUACGAACAAAUUCUGUUUCGAGAGCACAUUCAUAAGUCCGAUUUGUUUGUAAAUCCAACCGAGUUAGCCUAAGUACCUAAAUAACACAGUCAGCUGUAUAGUAUUGUGCUGUAAUAGGUUUAUAAUAUUUUGCAUACAAAUAAUACAUUAAAAAGAAACAAACAUAAAAAUAAAACAAUUUUAAUCGUAUAUCGGGCAUGACCUAGCGACGAACACCAACCUGGAACAGUACAGUAGUGCAGUACAACAGCUGGCAAACGGGCUGAUACUGAGUGAACAGCCGAGAAGAGUGAUUGACUGGAGGAGGGGAAGGAGGUGGGAGAUGGUUUGUCAGGAGGAGACCUGUGAGAGAUGCAUGCACACAAGGCCCGUAAACCAACUUAUGUGACUGGACAUGGAGAAUGCAUCUCUGAAAGCAUGUAACUUGAAGAUCCUUAUGUAGGGGACUUCCUGUAUCUGCAUUUUGAAAGAAGGAUAUAUGUUCUAAAAUCAAACAGAGGGUGUUGGGCUUUCACUGGGACAGCUUGAAAUUGUGGGAUGAUUAGGGAUCGGACCUGUGUUAGAACCUUAGUUCUGUCACUGCAUGUGACUUGGGCCAGUGGCUGUACAUCCCUGUGCCUCAGUUUUGUGAUCUGUGAAAUGGGGUGAUAACACAAGGCCGGCAGUAUCUGGAGGAGGACUGAAUGAAGCCAGCUGACACAUUGGGUUGCAGGCACGUGCUUUAUAUAAGGUGACCUUUUGGACUAUUGUUACCAACAGAAUCGCAACCACCCUGAAUGCCUGUCCUUAUUUAGUACAAAAUGGGUUUCCCUGGUAGCUCAGUGGUGAAGCAUCCUCCUGCCAAUGCAGGAGAUGUGGGCUUCAUCCCUGGGUCAGGAAGAUACUCCCGGGGAAGGAAAUGACUCCCCACUCCAGUAUUCUUGCUUGGGAAAUCCCGUGGACAGAGGAGCCUGGCGGGCUGCAGUCCAUGGGGUCACAAAAAGCGGCAGACAUGAGUUGCUGACUAAACAACAACCUGCCCACAGUUUCAGAUUCUGAAAACACACGCUCACAUACUCAACUGACUGGAUGAGAAUGCAUCUGGCUGGGCGAAGGAAGCAAACCCACAAAAAGAAAUCCCCGCAAACGGUCUUCCGGAAUGAGCACGCGGCAGCCUCCCGAGGUCGCCUGAUCCCCUCCGACUCUGUAACAAGCACGCUCGCUCCGCAGGGAGCCCAGCGCCCUUUCCGGAAGAGACGGGCCCCAGACAAAAAGUUAAGUGGAUUUAAAUGUAAGCAGGUCUAAAAAGAAAGCAGUGUUUCCUUUUAGAAGCUUAAGAAAACAAUUAGAAAUAAAAGGAGGCCAGAAAGCACAGUUAAUGAAGGGGCCCGAGAAGCGAAGGCGAUGGGGAAAUUCACCCGCUUCAGGAACACUUUUGCAAGGGCAAGACAGAGGGACCGCACCCAGAGCUCUUCUGACCUUGCCCUUGACUCACUGGGCUCUCACAGCUCACAUCCUCCCUCCGGGGGAGCUUAAAGUCGCCGCUCCACGGAAAUGUUUGUUCUGCCUCUGGAGCAGAAGACACCACUUCUGGCGGCCCCGGGUGGCCCCGUAUCUGCGGCUCCGAGGUCCUGUCAGGCCAAGAGGAGGCUCUUUUCUUGUCUCACGAGCAGGAUUCGUCCAUGGGAAGCUUGUUCCUCUUUAAGCAGAAAGGGUGCCAGAUGCUUUCCUUGGGGGCGGGGACGUCACAUUGGACCCCUGGCCGUCCAUGGCAAAUUAAACAUUUUCGUACCACUGUAGCCAGUUAGCAUUUAAGCAUCGUGGCUC